rnacentral:lncRNA from 1 species
UAAAAAGGUAGCCAGAUGAACGAGGAAGAGUGUGAAACAGGCUCAGGAUCAGUACAGGUUGUGUACAAUCGAAAAACGGACAGCAGGCUUCGAUGUUAACAUUAGGUUGAUAUUAGAAAGUAAGUACUCUAUUCUGCAGAUAGCUAGCUACGUGGACACGUAACGCUAAAAGAUAACCCGAGUCACCUGCAAAAAUCCUUGCUAAAUCGAAUUCCUCGGUCGGUUGUGGAGAGGAAAUCGGGCCUACGGCGGGGUGACUUGCUAGUGCUGUCAUCCGCACUGUUGCAGGUCAAGAGCUUGCGGAUCUACAGAUUGUAUGCCCUCUUCCUGUGACGGUGCCUGCUGGCUCGCACAGAGAGAAUGAGUGGUGUGGUGCACAGCAGAUGCCCAGCCUAGACGCCGCCGAU